CACGUAGGGCGCAAGCGUUGUCCGGAAUUAUUGGGCGUAAGGAGCUCGUAGGCGGUCUGUUACGUCUGCUGUGAAAACCCAGGGCUUAACCCUGGGCUUGCAGUGGAUACGGGCAGACUAGAGGCAGGUAGGGGAGAAUGGAAUUCCCGGUGUAGCGGUGAAAUGCGCAGAUAUCGGGAGGAACACCAGUAGCGAAGGCGGCACCCUGGGCCGGUACUGACGCUGAGGAGCGAAAGCGUGGGGAGCAAACAGG
rnacentral:rRNA from 1 species